GUGAGGAAUAUUGGUCAAUGGGCGAGAGCCUGAACCAGCCAAGUAGCGUGAAGGAUGACUGCCCUACGGGUUGUAAACUUCUUUUGUCCAGGAAUAAAAAAUCCCUCGUGAGGGGUCUUGCAGGUACUGGUUGAAUAAGGACCGGCUAAUUCCGUGCCAGCAGCCGCGGUAAUACGGAAGGUCCGAGCGUUAUCCGGAUUUAUUGGGUUUAAAGGGUGCGUAGGCGGGGAAGCAAGUCAGCCGUAAAAUUGUUGAGCUCAACUCAAUCCCGCGGUUGAAACUGCCUCCCUUGAGUACACUAGAGGGCGAUGGAAUUCGUGGUGUAGCGGUGAAAUGCAUAGAUAUCACGAAGAACUCCGAUUGCGUAGGCAGUCGCCUGGGGUGCCACUGACGCUGAGGCACGAAGGUGCGGGUAUCAAACAGG
rnacentral:rRNA from 1 species